UAUUAUAGUAUUAAUGAAUGGGUGUUUUUAUAAUGGCCCUGUUAUAUGUCCAAGGUCUGUUAUAAUGGUCGAGGAAGUCUGUAAUGGCCCGAGGCAACGCCGAGGGCCAUUACAGACAUCCGAGGCCAUUAUUACUGACCAAGGACAUAUAACAGAGCCAUUAUAAAAACACCCAUUUCUUAAUACAUUUAUUAACCAACUGAAUAACAGUGUAUGUGUUAAUAUACCAAAUAUUCAAGAUAUUAAGUUGACAGAAGUUAUGUGUUGAAAAACAGGAGGAACAGUGAUCCCUAUAUAUGGUUCUUUAAUGUUGGUUACUGGUUACUAAAUUAAAUAAAAUACAAAAAAGUAUUAUACUCUUUACAACUUAAUUUUAUUAACUUUAUUAAAAACCCUUACUGUGCUUUAUACAGACAAACCGGGCAUUAAUACAGGGCCAUUACAGAAAAACAGGGCCAUUACAGAAAAAAAACAGGGCCAUUACAGAAAAACAGGGCCAUUACAAAAAAACAGGGCCAUUACAGAAAAAAAACAGGGCCAUUACAGAAAAAACAGGGCCAUUACAGAAAAUAUGUUAUUUUUAAUAACCAGUCAUUUUUGGCAAUAAUGUACUUAGUUGGUUAAUAAAUAUAUAUAUAUCU
rnacentral:lncRNA from 1 species